rnacentral:rRNA from 1 species
UACGAAGGGGGCUAGCGUUGUUCGGAAUUACUGGGCGUAAAGCGCUCGUAGGCGGAUCGAUCAGUCAGGGGUGAAAUCCUGGAGCUCAACUCCAGAACUGCCUUUGAUACUGAAGAUCUUGAGUUCGGGAGAGGUGAGUGGAACUGCGAGUGUAGAGGUGAAAUUCGUAGAUAUUCGCAAGAACACCAGUGGCGAAGGCGGCUCACUGGCCCGGUACUGACGCUGAGGUGCGAAAGCGUGGGGAGCAAACAGG